AGAGUUUGAUCAUGGCUCAGAUUGAACGCUGGCGGUAGGCUUAACACAUGCAAGUCGUGCGAGAAAGUAUCUUCGGAUAUGAGUAGAGCGGCGGACGGGUGAGUAACGCGUAGGAAUCUACCUAGUAGAAGGGGAUAGCCCGGGGAAACCCGGAUUAAUACCGUAUACCUCCUUCGGGAGAAAGAAGGCCUCUCUUUGAAGCUUUCGCUAUUAGAUGAGCCUGCGUAAGAUUAGCUUGUUGGUGAGGUAAAGGCUCACCAAGGCGACGAUCUUUAGCUGGUCUGAGAGGACGAUCAGCCACAUUGGGACUGAGACACGGCCCAGACUCCUACGGGAGGCAGCAGUGGGGAAUAUUGGACAAUGGGCGCAAGCCUGAUCCAGCCAUACCGCGUGUGUGAAGAAGGCCUUCGGGUUGUAAAGCACUUUAAGCAGGGAGAAAAAGUUAUAAGUUAAUACCUUAUAACCGUGAUGUUACCUGCAGAAUAAGCACCCGGCUAAUUCCGUGCCAGCAGCCGCGGUAAUACGGAAGGUGCAAGCGUUAAUCGGAAUUACUGGGCGUAAAGCGCGCGUAGGUGGUUUGUUAAGUUGGAUGUGAAAGCCCUGGGCUCAACCUAGGAACUGCAUCCAAAACUAACUCACUAGAGUACGAUAGAGGGAGGUAGAAUUCAUAGUGUAGCGGUGGAAUGCGUAGAUAUUAUGAAGAAUACCAGUGGCGAAGGC
rnacentral:rRNA from 1 species